rnacentral:pre_miRNA from 1 species
UGUUAAAAAGUUUAUCUAUCUUUAUUGUUAAAAAUCGACAUAUCUGACAGAAUAACUAGACAAUUCGUGAUGUACCACAUGUACCUUAUUAUAAUGUAAAAGGACCAAUUUUCAAUAGUGGAAAUAAACAUAAUUUUUAACA